UCCUGUCCCUGUCUCCUACAG
rnacentral:miRNA from 1 species